rnacentral:rRNA from 1 species
CCUACGGGUGGCAGCAGUGGGGAAUAUUGGACAAUGGGGGGAACCCUGAUCCAGCCAUGCCGCGUGUGUGAAGAAGGCCCUCGGGUUGUAAAGCACUUUCAGUGAGGAAGAACGCCUGGUGGUUAAUACCCAUCAGGAAAGACAUCACUCACAGAAGAAGCACCGGCUAACUCCGUGCCAGCAGCCGCGGUAAUACGGAGGGUGCGAGCGUUAAUCGGAAUUACUGGGCGUAAAGCGCGCGUAGGUGGUUUGAUAAGCCGGUUGUGAAAGCCCCGGGCUCAACCUGGGAACGGCAUCCGGAACUGUCAAGCUAGAGUGCAGGAGAGGAAGGUAGAAUUCCCGGUGUAGCGGUGAAAUGCGGAGAGAUCGGGAGGAAUACCAGUGGCGAAGGCGGCCUUCUGGACUGACACUGACACUGAGGUGCGAAAGCGUGGGUAGCAAACAGGAUUAGAUACCCUGGUAGUG